CCGUUGCCGGCGACCGGCGCACGGGUGAGUAACACGUAUGCAACCUGCCCGUGGCAGGGGGGAUAAGCGGGGGAAACCCCGUCUAAUACCGCGUAACGCGGCCUAGGGACAUCCCAAGGCCGCCAAAGGGAGCAAUCCCGGCCACGGAUGGGCAUGCGGCGCAUUAGCUAGUCGGCGGGGUAACGGCCCACCGAGGCGACGAUGCGUAGGGGUUCUGAGAGGAAGGCCCCCCACACUGGUACUGAGACACGGACCAGACUCCUACGGGAGGCAGCAG
rnacentral:rRNA from 1 species